UGCAAGUCGAACGAGCGAGAGAGAGCUUGCUUUCUCGAGCGAGUGGCGAACGGGUGAGUAACGCGUGAGGAACCUGCCUCAAAGAGGGGGACAACAGUUGGAAACGACUGCUAAUACCGCAUAAGCCCACGGGUCGGCAUCGACCAGAGGGAAAAGGAGCAAUCCGCUUUGAGAUGGCCUCGCGUCCGAUUAGCUAGUUGGUGAGGUAAUGGCCCACCAAGGCGACGAUCGGUAGCCGGACUGAGAGGUUGAACGGCCACAUUGGGACUGAGACACGGCCCAGACUCCUACGGGAGGCAGCAGUGGGGAAUAUUGCACAAUGGGGGAAACCCUGAUGCAGCGACGCCGCGUGGAGGAAGAAGGUCUUCGGAUUGUAAACUCCUGUUGUUGGGGAAGAUAAUGACGGUACCCAACAAGGAAGUGACGGCUAACUACGUGCCAGCAGCCGCGGUAAAACGUAGGUCACAAGCGUUGUCCGGAAUUACUGGGUGUAAAGGGAGCGCAGGCGGGAAGACAAGUUGGAAGUGAAAUCUAUGGGCUCAACCCAUAAACUGCUUUCAAAACUGUUUUUCUUGAGUAGUGCAGAGGUAGGCGGAAUUCCCGGUGUAGCGGUGGAAUGCGUAGAUAUCGGGAGGAACACCAGUGGCGAAGGCGGCCUACUGGGCACCAACUGACGCUGAGGCUCGAAAGUGUGGGUAGCAAACAGGAUUAGAUACCCUGGUAGUCCACACCGUAAACGAUGAUUACUAGGUGUUGGAGGAUUGACCCCUUCAGUGCCGCAGUUAACACAAUAAGUAAUCCACCUGGGGAGUACGACCGCAAGGUUGAAACUCAAAGGAAUUGACGGGG
rnacentral:rRNA from 1 species